ACACAUGAACAUAUUUUUACAUUUGAAAAUCUAGCCAUGCCUUGGCGUUGGUUGAGUCUCACUCUCACGCGGUGAUCCACGUGAAGUGUACUCAAAUCUUUACCUCCAAAGACACCCUCCACAAGGCUCUCCGAUCGAGGUAAGGUAUAUUUGAUUCUGUGCCCCCUCUCUUAGGCUGGUCCACAGAACCUCCACUGUAGGAAUUAUGGAUUAUUUUAUCUACCACCUAAUUUAUAAAAUCUUUAUCUGCAUGACAUGGCAAUUUAUCGUAACCUAGCCUCUCAAGGCUGAAUACACAGUACAAAUAAUUCUAACACUAAAAAUCAGUUUAGCCAUUCAUGCUCAUAUAUUGUCAUAAGCCAUUCAAUUUAAAACCAUAAAAUUACAACACAUCAAGUGGUCUCUAAUUACUCUAUUUUCAAAACCAUAAUUCAAUUUCAAGACAAUUUAUAAAAUCAUUUUAUUUAAAUACAUUUUACUUAUAAAAAAUAAGGAUAUACCAUUUAACUCAUUUUCCAUAAAAUCACAAAAACGAAUAAAAACUACUUUAGAUAAUUAAGACGUUAAUAAGGUUACUCAUAGUAUCAGGAGUAGAAAUACUCCUAGUCUCGGUCUUUGGUGUAAUCUCUUUAUCCUUAUCAAAUAGCUCACCACCUAUACAUCACACAUGACACAAAAUUCAAUAAUUUGUGUCAAUUUGUUAUAAACUAUUUUAGGCUCUCUAAAUCUAAAUGAAUGCAUACGAUGGGGUGCAAAAUGUCCGAUUAAUCGCUUAAAUGUGAUAUUUGACCUAAGUCACACUAUACUCGGUCUAAUCGGCUAAAAUCUCCAAUUUAACUGCAAAUCAAUUCUUUCACUUUCUACACUCCAAUUAUACCUAAAUUACCUCAAUGACUAUGAAUGAGAUUUCAUUUAUCAAGCUCGGGUCAAUAAUCACACAUGUCUAUACGUUGAGCAAAAAUUUGAAUUUUCACACUAAAAUUUCCCAUUUAAUUUCUAGCCUCACCAAACAUCAAAUAUCACCAAAAUAUAAUGAAAUAUCAUCAAUUUCAGCCACAAUAUCCUCCCUAGAAAAUUCGACCAAUGAAGAACACAUAAGGAAUGGGUGAUUUUCAAGCUUGAUUCUUACACUAAACACCAUAAAUCAUUGAAAACAUCCAUAUAACUUAAAAUCCAACCAAACCAUCACCAAACUCUCUCUCUUUAGAAUUCGGCCUUCACGGGUUUCAUCAUGCCAACUCAAUUUUCAGCCAUGGAGAUAAGAAAAUAAAGCAUGGGUAUGCUAGAUCUCAAGCAAAAACUGAAAAAUCAUACCUUAACUUGCUUGAUUCCUUGAAAUUUCCACAAUUUUUCUUGAAAUUCUCUUAUCUAGGGUUUGUUCUAGUUUUUCCUUUCUUUCCUU
rnacentral:lncRNA from 1 species